GACGAACGCUGGCGGCGUGCUUAACACAUGCAAGUCGAACGGAAAGGCCCUGCUUUUGUGGGGUGCUCGAGUGGCGAACGGGUGAGUAACACGUGAGUAACCUGCCCUUGACUUUGGGAUAACUUCAGGAAACUGGGGCUAAUACCGGAUAGGAGCUCCUGCUGCAUGGUGGGGGUUGGAAAGUUUCGGCGGUUGGGGAUGGACUCGCGGCUUAUCAGCUUGUUGGUGGGGUAGUGGCUUACCAAGGCUUUGACGGGUAGCCGGCCUGAGAGGGUGACCGGCGACAUUGGGACUGAGAUACUGCCCAGACUCCUACGGGAGGCAGCAGUGGGGAAUAUUGCACAAUGGGCGGAAGCCUGAUGCAGCAACGCCGCGUGCUGGAUGACGGCCUUCGGUUUGUAAACCGCUUUCGCCUGUGACGAAGCGGGAGUGACGGUAAUUGGUAAAUAAGCACCGGCUAACUACGUG
rnacentral:rRNA from 1 species